GGCGACGUGGCCAAGUGGCAAGGCAAAGCUCUGCAAAAGCUUGAUCACCGGUUCGAAUCCGGUCGUCGCCU
rnacentral:tRNA from 2 species